CACACGACUCUCGGCAACGGAUAUCUCGGCUCUCGCAUCGAUGAAGAACGUAGCGAAAUGCGAUACCUGGUGUGAAUUGCAGAAUCCCGCGAACCAUCGAGUCUUUGAACGCAAGUUGCGCCCGACGCCAUUCGGCUGAGGGCACGCCUGCCUGGGCGUCACGC
rnacentral:rRNA from 1 species